CUUAUUAUGGCACCCUCAACGGAGUUGGGGUGACGUAUUGUUAUUCUACGUUUCUUUUUUUUCUUAUUAUUAUGUCACCCGAUCGACAAUGUCGGGUGACAUAUUGCUUUUCCUCUGUUUCUUUACUAUUAUUAUUAUUAUUCUUCCAAUGAUUUUGUCCGGCAGUUUUCUUGAAGACAAUGGAACCAAUCUUAAUGAUAGUUGACUAUAAUGAGGAACACAAAAUUCCGGGUUGCAGUAGGUCAUAAGACCAUUAAAAAUGGCUGCCGUUACCA
rnacentral:lncRNA from 1 species